rnacentral:rRNA from 1 species
GACGAACGCUGGCGGCGUGCCUAAUACAUGCAAGUUGAGCGAUGAAGAUUGGUGCUUGCACCAAUUUGAAGAGCAGCGAACGGGUGAGUAACGCGUGGGGAAUCUGCCUUUGAGCGGGGGACAACAUUUGGAAACGAAUGCUAAUACCGCAUAAUAACUUUAAACAUAAGUUUUAAGUUUGAAAGAUGCAAUUGCAUCACUCAAAGAUGAUCCCGCGUUGUAUUAGCUAGUUGGUGAGGUAAAGGCUCACCAAGGCGAUGAUACAUAGCCGACCUGAGAGGGUGAUCGGCCACAUUGGGACUGAGACACGGCCCAAACUCCUACGGGAGGCAGCAGUAGGGAAUCUUCGGCAAUGGACGAAAGUCUGACCGAGCAACGCCGCGUGAGUGAAGAAGGUUUUCGGGUCGUAAAACUCUGUUGGUAGAGAAGAACGUUGGUGAGAGUGGAAAGCUCAGCAAGUGACGGUAACUACACAGAAAGGGACGGCUAACUACGUG